rnacentral:rRNA from 1 species
CACGUAGUUAGCCGGAGCUUCCUCCUCGGCUACCGUCAUUAUCGUCACCGGGGACAGAGGUUUACAAUCCGAAAACCGUCUUCCCUCACGCGGCGUCGCUGCAUCAGAGUUCCCUCCAUUGUGCAAGAUCCCCCACUGCUGCCUCCCGUAGGAGUCUGGGCCGUGUCUCAGUCCCAAUGUGGCCGUUCAACCUCUCAGUCCGGCUACCGAUCGCAGCUUUGGUGGGCCGUUACCUCACCAACUGGCUAAUCGGACGCGAGUCCAUCUUCCAGCGGAUUGCUCCUUUGAUCCCAGAACCAUGUGAUCCCGGGAUGUCAUGCGGUAUUAGCGUCCGUUUCCGGACGUUAUCCCCCUCUGAAAGGCAGGUUCCUCACGCGUUACUCACCCGUCCGCCACUGAAACUGUCCGAAGCAAGCUCCGGCCAGUUCCCGUUCGACUUGCAUGUGUUAGGCGCGCCGCCAGCGUCGUCCUCGUGCCGCGGAUCGAACUAC